GAGUUUGAUCAUGGCUCAGAACGAACGCUGGCGGCAGGCCUAACACAUGCAAGUCGAACGAGCUAGGGACCUUCGGGUCCCGAUGCUAGUGGCGCACGGGUGAGUAACACGUGGGAAUCUACCCAAUAGUACGGAAUAACUGAGGGAAACUUUGGCUAAUACCGUAUACGCCCUUCGGGGUAAGGAUUAUCGCUAUUGGAUGAGCCCGCGCCUGAUUAGGUAGUUGGUGAGGUAACGG
rnacentral:rRNA from 1 species